UAGGGAAUCUUCGGCAAUGGACGAAAGUCUGACCGAGCAACGCCGCGUGAGUGAAGAAGGUUUUCGGAUCGUAAAACUCUGUUGUUAGAGAAGAACAAGGACGUUAGUAACUGAACGUCCCCUGACGGUAUCUAACCAGAAAGCCACGGCUAACUACGUGCCAGCAGCCGCGGUAAUACGUAGGUGGCAAGCGUUGUCCGGAUUUAUUGGGCGUAAAGCGAGCGCAGGCGGUUUCUUAAGUCUGAUGUGAAAGCCCCCGGCUCAACCGGGGAGGGUCAUUGGAAACUGGGAGACUUGAGUGCAGAAGAGGAGAGUGGAAUUCCAUGUGUAGCGGUGAAAUGCGUAGAUAUAUGGAGGAACACCAGUGGCGAGGGCGGCUCUCUGGUCUGUAACUGACGCUGAGGCUCGAAAGCGUGGGGAGCAAACCGG
rnacentral:rRNA from 1 species